UUAUUUUUCUUAGAUCUAGUCGUUAUUUUAUCGAUUUUGGAGUUAUUUGUGUUUGUUGUUUUAUGAUUUGAGGGUAGAUUAGUGUUUUUUGGACCUGGAAUUUUGUUAGUUCGUAUUCGUGUUUUCUUUUUAUUGUGAUUACUUUUUGAUGAAGUUAGUUUGUCCUUCAACUUUUUGUAGCUGCAAUUUUAUAAUUCAGGAUACUUUUUUUUUUUUUUUUUGUGAUUAUAAGUUAUUGGAUAUUUGCCUUAUGAUGAAAGUGGGAUUGGAUAUUACAUGAUACAUAUAAUUAUUUACAUGAAAUAUGUCUUUUUUAUUGUGAGUUAUUUACCAAAAGUUAAGGGGAUAUUUUGUUUUAGAACAGUAUUUGUUUUGAUAUAUAUCACAUUAUUUUCACUUUGUGUUUUCAAAGUUUUGUACUGAACAGUGGAAACAAGUGUUACUUACAAAAUUAUGAAAGUAUCCCAUUGUUAUAUAAAACUUUGAGUUGUGAAAAGAGGAAUGAUUUUACUGUUUUUGUGCUUAAUUUUGAUAGCUUUUUUUUAUUGAGUACUCCACACAAAUGUUUUCUGAAAUCUAACAAGCUCCAAGUUAGCUAGAUUAUUGAUGAGAAAUUCAAGGAGUAGAGUAUGAAAUAAGUUCUAAGCAAUGUUGGGGGUUUCUAAUUGCAAAUGUAAUAGAGGAGACUAAUUAGGUGUAUUGAGAUUUCAACCCACUAAGGCCUCUAUUAUUGCUAUUGCCAUUUUGCCUUUUCUCAUGUUUGCAUUGUUGAAAAUUUAUGGAAGUGUUUUGUGAUUCUGAAAUCAAACAAGCCUGUGAGAUAUCGAUUAUUUAUGAGAAAAUCAAAGUAUAGAUUAUGAUUAAUUUUCUAAUCUAUGUUUUGGGUUUGUCUAAUUGCUAUACUAUUUUAACUUUUGCUAUUGCUGUUGCAACUCACUAAGGCCUCACUGAUUGCUUGAUAAGGCUGUUCAUAUUUGAAUAUUUGUUUGACAUUUUUCUUUUCAGGCUGCAAACUACUUGAACAUCAAGAGCCUUCUUGAUCUUACCUGCCAGACAGUUGCAGACAUGAUAAAGGGGAAGACACCUGAAGAAAUUCGCAAGACUUUUAACAUCAAGAAUGACUUCACACCUGAGGAAGAGGAGGAAGUUCGUAGGGAGAAUCAAUGGGCAUUUGAAUGAUGUGUUUCAAAUCUCACACAGAGAUUUGCAAAGUGGAUUAAUGGCUAUUAUGUUUGUUUUAUUCACCAAAAAUCCUCAAUGUAGAUUUAUCUAUGCUAUGUACUCUGUUUGUCUAUGGGAUUAUUCGUGCUGAGUGUUAACUAUAUUCACUGGACAGCGUUAUCUUAUGUCAUGAACUUAAGGGAAGUCUGAAUUGUAAGUAAAGUAAUAGUUGUUUAUGAGCAUAUGGGUUGAUUUGGAUGGUUAUUAAAUUCAAUAAUUGUUACCCUUUGGUUCCUAAUUUUUCAUUAUAUUAAAUGUGUAUGCAUUGUCAUUAAUAAAUUACGUUCUGUUGGUCAUGCAACUAAAGCGCAUUAGAGAUGAGAUUUCAUGCACAAAUACUACUUUAUAUAUAUUUAGUUAUAUUCAAUAUUCAAUAUCAUCAACCUUUUAAGAGGAUAACUUAAUUCUAAGCUUGAGGUUAGGCCCUUUGAUGCUAAUGGCUUGGAGCCAACUCCCUCAUGUAAUAAGCAAAACGUAAUUCUUCAAGAAUUUUUAAACUGAAGAAAUCUAAUGCACCUAGAAGCACUCCAAUACAAGUGAGAGACGUGAUGUUUUACAUAUCAGGAUUGGGUUGAAUGAACGGUUUUUUGUCCUUUACGUCUAUAAGAAUUAGAGUAGUAAGAUAGUACAAAGCAACCCAUUUCAGGAAAGAAUUUUCAGAAAAAUAUUCAACUUUUUUCAAAAUAAUAUUUUUUAACCAAAAAAUUUUCCAAACAAAAAAAAAAAACAGAUGAUAAAACACAGGGUCAACAAAAAAUAAUGAAAGGAGAUUUGAACUUGGGAGACUAAUUGACAGUUUCAGGAAAAAAUUAAGCUUAUAAAGAGGUUGAUUUGCACACCAUAAAACUAACAUACUAACCUUUAUCUUUAAAAAAUGACAAACAAAUAGAAGCAUAUUGUGAAAUUAUCUUUGAUUUAAGCCAAUUAUAAUCAUUGAGAUGAGUGGUUGAAUAACUGUUUGGUUAUAUACAAAAUCGAUAUACAUUUUUUUGCUACAUUACGUAGUAUUAACAACAAAAAAGAUCAACAUUUAAAAAAUAUGAAAAUGCAUCUAAGGCUCUUGUAAUUUGUAAAAGUUUAUGCAUUUUAUUAAAUAAUUAAACUCUUUAUUAAAACGUAACAAUAUUGUGUGAAAAUAAAAUGUUAUAGGGUUAGCCACCAAUUAUCUAUUAUUAACCUUUUGACUAUUAAUAAUUUAAUCAAAAAAUAUGUGGUGAUAAUUUUUUUUAUAAAAUUUUGUAUUUAAAACAAAGAUAAAUGAUUUUUCAAAAAUAGAACAUACACAUAAAUGAAAUUAAAGACUCACCUAAUGGUCAGAAUAUGAUAAAGAUUUUAUGUGACAAAAGAAAUAGACAAUACUAAAAAUAUUUUUUAUUUAUUUAAAUGAUAUCUUUUGUUUGAUAUGCACAUCAUAUGAAAUUAGACAAUAUAUGUUAAUCUAUUAUGUAUUUGAAAUAUAAUAAAUAUGCGGUGACAAUUUUUUUUAUAUAGAAUCUUGUAUUUAAAACAAAGAUAAACCAUUUUUCAAAAAAAAAUAAAAUAGAACACACACAUAAAUGAAACGAACGACUCACUUGAUCGUCAGAGUAUGAUAAAAAAAUUUAUGUAACAAAAAAAAUGGACAAUGCUAAGAAUUUUUUUUUUUGAUUUAAAUGAUAUAUUUUGUUUGAUGUGCACGUCAUAUGAAACUAGACAAUAUAUGUUAAUCUAUUAUGUGUUUGAGAUAUAAUAAAUAUGUGGUGACAAAUUUUUUUAUAUAAAAUUUUGUAUUUAAAACAGAGAUAAAUGAUUUUACAUAAAAAAAAAUACACACAUAAAUGAAACUAAAAGACUCAUAUGAUAUGAUGGUCAAAGUAUGAUAAAAAAAAUUAUGUGACAAAAAAAAAAUAGACAAUGCUAAGAAUAUUUUUUUAUUUAUUUAAAUGAUAUAUUUUGUUUGAUGUGUACGUCAUAUGAAACUAGACAAUAUAUGUUAAUCUAUUAUGUGUUUGAGAUAUAAUAAAUAUGUGGUGACAAAUUUUUUUAUAUAAAAUCUUGUAUUUAAAACAAAGAUAAACGAUUUUUCAUAAACAGAACACACACAUAAAUGAAAUUAAAGACUCACCUGAUGGUCAAAGCAUGAUAAAAAAUUAUGUGACAAAAGAAAUGGAUAAUGCUAAGAAUAUUUUUUUGUUUAUUUAAACGAUAUCUUUUGUUUGAUGUACACGUCAACUAGACAAUAUAUAUUAAUCUAUUAUGUGUUUGAGAUAUAAUAAAUAUGUGGUGAUAAUUUUUUUUUAUAUAAAAUCUUAUAUUUAAAACAUAGAUAAACAAUUUUUUUUCAAAAAGGACAUUCAUAAAUAAAAUUAAAGACUCACCUGAUGUUUAGAAUAUGAUAAAAAGAAUUAUGUGACAAAAGAAAUGGACGGUGCUAAGAAUUUUUUAUUUAUUUAAAUGAUAUCUUUUGUUUGAAGUGCACGUUGUAUGAAACUAGACAAUAUAUGUUAAUCUAUUUGUGUUUGAGAUAUAAUAAAUAUGCGGUGACAAAUUUUUUUAUAUAAAAUCUUAUAUAUAAAGCAGAGAUAAACAAUUUUUUUGAAAAAGAACACACACAAAUGAAAUUAAAGACUCGCCUGAUGGUCAAAGUAUGAUAAAAAAUUUAUGUGACAAAAGAAAUUGACAAUGAUAAGAAUUUUUUAUUUAUUUAAAUGAUAUCUUUUGUUCGAAAUGCACGUCAUAUGAAACUAGACAAUAUAUGAUAAUCUAUCUGUAUUUGAGAUGUAAUAAAUAUGCAAUGAUAAUUAUUUUUUUUAUAUAAAACAAAGAUAAACGAUUUUUCAAAAAAAAAAAAAAAACACACAAUGAAACUAAAGACUCACCUGAUGGUUAGAGUAUGAUAAAAAAAGAUACAUAUAGAUUUAACUCAAUUUGACUCGUUACUUUAUUCUGCUGACGACUUACAUUAUUUUUAAAUAUAAACUAGUGUGUCUCUUAAAUAUUUUAUAGAAAAUGUAUUAUUUUAAAAUUUACUAUACAAAAUUAUCAUAAAAAUUUAUUAUAUGGAUUAACAAAUUUUAAAGUAUAUACAAGUAUUUAAAGAUAACAACCAAUAUAUUUUUUGUAAUUAUGUAAUAAAAAAUAAAGUCUUCUGACAACUGUGUUUCAUCCAAAAAUUCUUUUAGACGGAGAUGUUGUAACAUCUCGUUUUUUAAGACAUUAUAUUCGUUUUAAUAAAGACACAUAUUCGCUUUUUGUAUAAGAUUAUUUUAAAUAUUUAUUUAUUUUAAAAUCAAUUAAUAACCUUUUUAAUUGUAUUUUUAAAAAUAAUGAAUCAAAAUAUUUACAAUUAUAAAAAGUAAAUUUAAUGUAUAAAACAAAUAAAACUCCUAAAGACAAAAUGCUUAGUAUAUCAUUGCUUAUUGUUCAUUUUCAUUUGCAUCUUGCUUUUGCAUUUCUUGCGUUCUUCAAUUUUCCGUUUUCAUUCUUCAAUUUUAUGUUUUCACAUGUUUUUAUUGUGUUGUUUUGAAUAAUGGAUGUGAAUGUUUGUGUUACUAUUUUUGUUGUAAAUAUUUUCUUCAAUUCUAGUUGGAUAAUAUAUUUGGCAAGAAUACAAUUUGAAAUAAGAUUUAUUUUUAAAAUAAUAUAACUCAAUCCACCUCAAAAAAAAAAAAAAUUAAUACAAUUCGAUUCAAUGAUAAAACGAGUGAUUAAUUUUAUAAAUCUAAAUUGGAGGUCUCUUACAUAGUUCGAGUUUUAUUUUAACCAAACUCAAUUCCACUCGACUCACGCAUUGCCAUAAAUUUAAUUUCCAACUUAAAAAAAUAUUAAGAAUUAAAAAUAGUAACUACCUAACAAAAAAUAUGAAACAAACCUAAAAUAAUCUGAAAAGAUAAAUAGGAACUCAAUAAAAUAUCAAUAUAAUUAUAAACCUAAUAUACUAAACUCGGAGGAGAUAAGGCAAUAUUAAAUCUUUUUCUAUUAAAAAAACGAAAUCUUCUAUUAUUAAAAAAACGUAAUCUUCUAUUAUUAUUAUUAAAAAAAAACGAAAUCUUUUCAAAAAAGAAUAGUUAUAAAUUUUUUUCAGAUUCAGUUCCAAUUUAAAACCAAAACGACUGCUCGCCACGUCGUUAGACACCCAAGUUACAUUCCUUCUAUCAUCACUAUAAAUAGAGUACUCAACCCCCAUAGUUUUCCCCACAAUUUUCUAAUUUAGAUAAAUACAAAUCAAGGGUUAGGGAUUUCACUUUUCGAAACACGAAGAAAAUUCCCAAAUCAAAACCAAAUCAUCAUCACCAUGUCUUCAACAAGGAAAUUCACCCUCAAGAGUUCUGACGGAGAGGCCUUUGAGGUCGAUGAAGCGGUGGCUGUGGAGUCGCAGACAAUCAAGCACAUGAUCGAGGACGAUUGUGCCGGCAAUGGAAUUCCUCUUCCGAACGUAACAAGCAAGAUCUUGGCGAAGGUAAUCGAGUAUUGUAAGAAACAUGUUGAGGCUGCGACCUCUGAUGAUAAACCUACUGAGGAUGAUCUCAAGGCUUGGGAUUCUGAUUUCGUUAAGGUUGACCAGGCUACGCUCUUUGAACUCAUACUGGUUAGUUUUUAUGACGAUUACGAUUCUUCUUUUUGUUGUUUUGAUUCGGUUUUUGUUGAAUCGAUUAUUUUUUUCUGUUGUGUAAUUUUUAGGGGGGUGUUAGGUUAGGGUUUGAUUGAAUUUUUGUUUGCUGUUUAUUGUGAUGUGAUAUGAUGUGGCUUUGAUUUAGUUUUGUACAUAAUUUGUGUGGCUAUUGUGAUUCUGAUGUUGUUCCUUCAUACAGUGAAGAUGUUGUCAGUUUUUUUUAAUAUAAAUUAUUAAACAUAUAUAUAUGUCAAUUUGUUCAUAUUUGGAAUAGGAAUUUGUAGUAGUUAGUGAUGCCAAGGUUUUAAAGUGAGGUUGUUGUUAUUAUUGUGGUUUUUGUUGUUGUCACAAUUGUUGUUAUUGAUAUUCUUUUAAAACUAUGAAUGUUUCACUAUUGUACCUCUAUUAGGUUAUGCAUUUGUAGCCAACCAUGGUGCUAUCCUAUAGGCUAUUAUUGUGCUUGAAGUUGCUGCGUUUGUUAAUUUUUGGAUGCUAUUGUGAAAUCUUUUUAAGAUGUAUUUGAUGCCAUGAACCCUAAAUGUUGCAAGAGGGGCUUUCAUUGAUAUUAUGGGUUUUGUGCUUAAACUUAUUAACAUGUUGUUUAGCUUAUGAUAUUGUGUUUGAUUCUUCCUUUAGUUAUUGAUUUUAUUAUGUUUAAGAUUCUAUAAUUGAAUAUUGGUCUGACAUUUCCCUUUUUAUGUAGGCUGCAAACUACUUAAACAUCAAGAACCUGCUGGACCUUACAUGCAUGACUGUGGCAGACAUGAUCAAGGGGAAGACACCUGAGGAAAUUCGCAAGACCUUCAACAUUAAGAAUGACUUCACACCUGAGGAAGAGGAGGAAGUUCGUAGGGAAAACCAAUGGGCAUUUGAAUGAUUAUAUGUUACAAUAUUAGAUACUCAGUGAAGGGUCUGUCAUGUGGGUUUAUGUUAUGCUUAUUUAGCGCAUCAAAGGACCCAAUAUAGAUUUAUCUAUG
rnacentral:lncRNA from 1 species